CUGAACCUUCGGGGAACGUUAACGGCGUCGAGCGGCGGACGGGUGAGUAAUGCCUAGGAAAUUGCCCUGAUGUGGGGGAUAACCAUUGGAAACGAUGGCUAAUACCGCAUGAUGCCUACGGGCCAAAGAGGGGGACCUUCGGGCCUCUCGCGUCAGGAUAUGCCUAGGUGGGAUUAGCUAGUUGGUGAGGUAAGGGCUCACCAAGGCGACGAUCCCUAGCUGGUCUGAGAGGAUGAUCAGCCACACUGGAACUGAGACACGGUCCAGACUCCUACGGGAGGCAGCAGUGGGGAAUAUUGCACAAUGGGCGCAAGCCUGAUGCAGCCAUGCCGCGUGU
rnacentral:rRNA from 1 species